UCAACAUGGCUGCUUAAUGCCAUUUACAAAUAGAUUGAGGUUAAUUUGGACAUUUAACAUUAAUUAUCAAUGCUACUUACAUGUCUUUUAGUAGUUUAUCUAUAUCUCUACGUGGCUAUAUUGCGUAUAACUUUCAAAGAAUUCUUGUUGCGUAUUCUAGUUAAGAGUUAGUUUCCUUUUCAAUUGCUUUGAACUCCUCUUUGAAAAGUAUUAUCUUCUGAUAUGAUAUGAUGCUGGAAUCGGAUUUCAAAUCAUUGGAGCUCAUACAGAUUAAGAGGAGCUGUUAGACCGAGCAAGGGUUCAAAUUUAUCUCUUCGAAAGGGUUGAACACUGUGAAGUCCACAGGAAAUUUUAAGCAAUUUUGUGAUGAAUUAACAAAUGGUAGGACUAUGAGUGAGAAACUUCUAGAAGUGGUAGCAAUGGUUAAUGAGCCGUCAAACUGAUCAUUUACUAACACUGAAAGCAAUUAAUAAAAUAAAAAGGAGCCUGUUCAUUGUUGCCUAUAUUCUUCGGCAACUUGGGUUCUUGAUUAUGUUCGGCGAAAACUCGGAAUUGAAUAUGUGAUGCAACAAUUGCUGGAAAUACAAUUUAUGAGAUAUUCUUGGUACUUUUGCAGUAACAGUUCUGGUGCUCUAAGGAGGAGUGCCUUUCUUUGCUUGCGUUUACUUCUUCAUGAAAAUGUAAAAGACUCAUCUUUUACCUUUUGAAUUUUUUUAGACUUUAAAAUCAUGUUAUAUACUAUUGAUAUGCAGGACUUCGUUCACAUGGUGAUGGAUACAAUACUGAUUUCGGAAAAUCUGAAGGUCGAUGGGGAGAAUGUAUCACCUGCCAACCGUACAAAAUUCAUAACUGAAUCUUUUGUUCUAAAACAUUGUAAAUAAUAUUCAACCAUUAGCAUGUGCGAAUUUCCUUUUCAAUCUACCUCGUGGUUGAGAGAAAUACACCUGACUCGAUUAGUGCCACUACAACUUGAAAAUGCUAUGCAACAUUAUGUCUAAUAAUAUG